rnacentral:tRNA from 1 species
GGAGAGAUGUCCGAGUGGUUUAUGGAGCUGGUCUUGAAAACCAGUGACCCGCAAGGGCCGGGGGUUCGAAUCCCUCUCUCUCCGCCA